AGUGAACGCUGGCGGUAGGCCUAACACAUGCCAGUCGAACGGCAGCACAGUAAGAGCUUGCUCUUACGGGUGGCGAGUGGCGGACGGGUGAGGAAUACAUCGGAAUCUACUUUUUCGUGGGGGAUAACGUAGGGAAACUUACGCUAAUACCGCAUACGACCUACGGGUGAAAGCAGGGGAUCUUCGGACCUUGCGCGAUUGAAUGAGCCGAUGUCGGAUUAGCUAGUUGGCGGGGUAAAGGCCCACCAAGGCGACGAUCCGUAGCUGGUCUGAGAGGAUGAUCAGCCACACUGGAACUGAGACAGGGUCAAGACUCCUAAGGGAGGCAGCAGUGGGGAAUAUUGGACAAUGGGCGCAAGCCUGAUCCAGCCAUACCGCGUGGGUGAAGAAGGCCUUCGGGUUGUAAAGCCCUUUUGUUGGGAAAGAAAAGCAGCAGGUUAAUACCCCGCUGUUCUGACGGUACCCAAAGAAUAAGCACCGGCUAACUUCGUG
rnacentral:rRNA from 1 species